AGGUCUGUAAGCUCAAAAUGUUAGAGCGCUCAAAGCAUUUGUUAUUGACCUAUUCUUUAAAAACAUUUGCUUUGAGAGGUUGGUGGUUCGAAUCCAUCUAGAUCCG
rfam:Glycine soja cultivar W05 scaffold4438_31, whole genome shotgun sequence.